CUUCAACGACCCGAGCCACAGCGGCUGGUCCUGCGACCGCUCCUGCCCGUACGUGGCCAGCAGGGCCUGGGCCUC
rnacentral:antisense_RNA from 1 species